UGUUGAAUUGGUGUAUGUUUUGCUGUGUAUAUUCUCAACAACAGCAAAAUAAGUAAAAUUUUAAAAAAUGAUGGGGAGAGCAGAAACAAAGAUAAUUCAACAAUUGUUUUAAUCAAGGUACCAUAAAUAACAUUAGCCCACUAUAAUCAUUAAAAAAUAAGUUUCUAAUAAAAUAUUAGUUUACAGUUUAAAAAAAAGUGACAAAAAUUCUUAGGAUUUUCUGAAAAUUCAAAAUAUAGUUGAGUACCUAUGUUUCCUUUUAUAAAAUAUUCUUGAAAUAUUUACUGUAAAACAGAAGAAAAUAAAUCUGAUAGAAAGUUUAAUAAUAACUAUUGUCAAUAUUGCCCUGAAAGCAAUUAGUAUCUGAGUGUUUGAAGCAAUCCUAGUCAUGUGGUUACAUUAACUAUCUUCCCAUGAAACAAAAAUUACAGAAAUAGACUAAAUAAUAUACAACAAGCUAAAAUUACUAUAUCUCAGAAUUUCCAAAUUAGAAUGGAUGAACACAACUGUAGAAUGAGAGUGUGGUGAAAUGAGUUCCUAAAAUGGCCUUUUGCCUUAGUCAUUUUUCCCCUAAACCCUGAGGCAUUACCUUUGUUCUAGUUUUCUACCCCACAGGGUUUGUUGCUUUUGUCCAGGUUGACUGAUAUUUCCUGGGUAAUCUAUAAACAACUUGUGGUUUGAUACUUCCUGUCUGGUAUGCACCUUGCAGGGAUUGGCCAAUGGACUAUGCAAAUUAUGGCCUACAAUGCAAAUGAAGUAUCUGUGGCCUACCAAGAGGGGAUUGGUCAGUUUGUGCCCCCCCCCAAAGUGGGAGGGGCCAUCCCUUGAAACUGACAAGGAGUUGUGUAUAUACGUAUAGUCAACCCCACAGAAGUUUUUCAGACAGGAAGAAGCAGAAAGGAGAAAAGGCAAGAGAGAAGAGAGAAAGGAGGCAAGGAACCUCUCAAACAGGCUAUAACAUUAGAGACAAUGACAGGCCCGGAGGAGGCCCAGUAGCAGAACUGGUGGUGACAGGCCAGGAAGGGAUCUUGAGGCACAGUCAGUGGUGACAGAUGGCAGGGCCAACAGGAGCCUGCCCUGAGGGGACUGAGAGGAGGCCUGCGCUGCCAAGAAGAGCUGAAAGGGCUGUCCUGCACUGAAGGGAGACUUUGCCUACACGCUUCCUGAUCCUGAGUCAUACUCCGUUACUUCCUUAAUAAACCACUUAAAAGAAUUUGGAGACAUCCAGGAACACAUGAACGGGAAAGAGAGAAAACCAAGAACACAGCAACCCAAACUUCAAAAAAGAAGCAGUCAGGAAUCUGGAAAUAGCUUUUGUAAAAUAAAUCUACUCAACUCACUACUGUUGAAAGCAAAACGGGGCUGCUAGGAUGUUCCAUCGGUCUCUGAGUAGCUUAGGAGCUAAAAACAAAAACUGGCACUGAAGAAAUAGCAUCGCCCACCCCAGUGACUUGGCAUUGGAAAUUGUGAAAAUAAUCACUCCACACCCAAAUCCAACGAUGACUCUAUUUUCAAAAUGAAAAGUGGAAUUAUCCUCGCCAAAGUGAAACUGUUAAUGACAUGCAAGGACUGCCAGAAGUCAGUCAAACACUUUUCUGUGCCUGUGUGCUGUGUGCUAGCUAGCCUUAAAAUCCUGGGUGUAAGGCUGAUAAAUUGUGGGGUUCUCAUUAUUCACCACCACUUCCCAACCUAAAACACCAAUAUAAGUCAUUUCAGUUUUUUGAGCUGCCAGGUUGAUAUGAAUGAGGUGCUCACCCAAAAACAGAAAUGAGCAUGAAUACCACAGAUUUGCUAAACUCUUAUAGAUUUAAAACUCACAUGCUUAUAAGAAUUGAUGUAAAAAUCCUGAAUAAAAUAUUAGCAAACAGACAGUCAUACCACAUUAACAAAAUAAACCAUGACAAGGGGGUUUGUGCCAGAAAUUCAAGGAUGGCUAAAAAUCAGAAAAUCUACCAAUAAAAUCUAGCAUAUCACUAGGUCUGAGGAGAAAAAGAUACCGCAUCUUUACGCAAAUAACGUGCAUGUUAUACAUUUUUUGCCAGCCACACAAUGCUACAUGCACUAUGUGUAUCAGCGUGUUAUUUACAUGGGCAUGUUAUUUGUGAAAAACACGGUGAUUAUUUCAACAGACGCUAAAAAAGCCUUUGAAAAGAACCAAAACACAUUCCUAACAAAAGCUCUUGGGGAAAAAAAAAAAACAGAAAUGGAAGAGUAUUUCUCCAGUGUGAUAAAAUAUAUAAAUCUUCAUCCUAAAGCCAG